AUUGAACGCUGGCGGCAGGCCUAACACAUGCAAGUCGAACGAGUGGCGGACGGGUGAGUAAUGUCUGGGAAACUGCCCGAGGGAGGGGGAUAACUACUGGAAACGGGAGCUAUAACACCAUACCAUCGGGUGUGCCCAGAUGGGAUUAGCUUGUAGGUGGGGGAACGGCUCACCCAGGCGACGAUCCCUAGCUGGUCUGAGAGGAUGACCAGCCACACUGGAACUGAGACACGGUCCAGACUCCUACGGGAGGCAGCAGUGGGGAAUAUUGGACAAUGGGCGAAAGCCUGAUCCAGCCAUGCCGCGUGUGUGAAGAAGGUCUUCGGAUUGUAAAGUACUUUAAGUUGGGAGGCGUUACCAGCAGAAUAAGCACCGGCUAACUUCGUGCCAGCAGCCGCGGUAAUUC
rnacentral:rRNA from 1 species